UGAUCCUACGGGACGCAGCAGUGGGGAAUAUUGCACAAUGGGGGAAACCCUGAUGCAGCGACGCCGCGUGAGUGAAGAAGUAUUUCGGUAUGUAAAGCUCUAUCAGCAGGGAAGAAGAAAGACGGUACCUGACUAAGAAGCCCCGGCUAACUACGUGCCAGCAGCCGCGGUAAUACGUAGGGGGCAAGCGUUAUCCGGAUUUACUGGGUGUAAAGGGAGCGUAGACGGCUGUGCAAGUCUGAAGUGAAAGCCCAGGGCUCAACCCUGGGACUGCUUUUGAAACUGCAGGAC
rnacentral:rRNA from 1 species